AAGAGUUUAUUUUAGUUACGCUGGGCAACCUGUCAUCAGCCUAUGCACGUAAGUGUAUCCCUUUUGUGAGAGUGACCCUGAACACCAUGUUCUCCAUGCUGGAGUUCGUCAAGGACGGCAGGCUGAGACAAGCAUUUUGCGGUGUUCUGGAACAAUGGUCAAGGGCAGUACGUCACUUUUUGGCUAACUGGG